CUCUCUUCCACAAGCACAACCCUUCUUCAGACGUCCAUAUACACUUCUCCCAAAAUCCUGUGCUUAACACAUUGUUACUGAGCACACAGGCGUGCUGGGGCAAGCGACGCCUGGGAAUAUGAAGCGAACGCCACACACUAGAACGCGCCCUGGGAGCUGGCCUCCGGUGGGGGACGCAGGUGUUGAAGACAUAACCGCAUGACCGAACUGUCUGCCACCAACUUGUACUAACUUCCGUCUCUCACCUGGGACCGUGCAGCCAGCAGCUCCUCCUGCAAGGGAUCAUGGCUUACCACCAUCCACCCCAAUGUCUCGGAGCUGCCUCAUUCUGCAGGAGGAGGCCCUUGCAGGGAUGGUGGUGGCAACUGCACAGCAAUGAACAAAACCGCUUUUUAAAUGUCACUAGUAAUUCCCAGGAUCACGCACAGCUCUAGAAAGCACCGCAGUAACUAUUCCUUCUGAACACCUUGGCACAGGAGACCUGGAGUGACCCUACGUGGCUUUCACCCAGGGGGAAUCAUGUCUGGGGCUAAAUACAAGGACAAAGGAGAGAGAAGCCUGGGGGAUGUCGGCUGGGGCAGUAGCAGUCAGAGAGCGAAGGGCUUGAAGGUCAUAUCAAGGAGUCUGAAUUUUGUUGUGUACAACACAGAGGGGUAUGGGAGACGGUUAAGUGGAGAACUAAGAGAACAAUAAGAGACAGUGCACCAGAGAUUGUUGCCUCCCCACUAUCUGUUUCUCCCUCCUUCCCUUCCAGUGAAACCUUGAUUUUAUUCUGGCCAGAAAUGUGUCUGGCCAAAGACUAUAUCUCCCAGUCUCCCUUGCAGCCAGAUAUGGCAUGUGACUGUUCUAAUCAAUGAGACAUGGGAGAAAUUGAUGAGGGUGCCUUGUGGAAAGCUCAAUCAAAAGAGGACACAGCUGAUGAAAGCUUUUUUUACCCAUUUCUUCUUCCUCCUGCAUUCCACCUGGAAUGAAGAUAUUAUGGUUGGUGCUCCAGCAGUUAUUUUGGGCUAUGAGGUAAUCUCCUCAUAGAGGCCAGAAAUUAGAGAAACCUCAGUUUUGCUCUGAAGGCCUUCAACUGCCCGGCCGAGGCUCACCCACACCAAGGGGAAUCCCUUCUCUUAAAGUCAACUGAUGGUAGAUGUCAACCACAGCUACAAAACACCGUCACAGCAACACCUGGGUUAGCGUUUGAUUGAAUAAAUGUGACUGGAGCCUGGCCAAGUUGAUACAUAAAAUCAACCGGCACAUUCCUUUUAGAAAAUAAUCAUCAUAAUUACACGCUCUGCUGUCAUCCUGACCUGCAAACCCUCCUAGGGGCAAAGAAGUUUGUUUUGUUUAUUUGUUUCCUGGAUGCAAAGAAUCUGUUGAUUUCUCCAAGCCUGGCGCUGGCUGAAAUUGUCCCAGCCAACACUGAAGCUGCCUAGAAGGUGGCUGCAGUUUUGGGGUGGCACCGGAAAGGGCUCUUUUAAGGAGCCACCAGCACCUUCGCCUCAAAAUCAAGAACAAUACCAGGCCCCAUGCCAGCCACAGGAGUAAUUAGGCCAGAUGGUUUCAAGGCAGAAAUUCCAGUAGUCCCUGAAAUGCUAUAAAUCGAGCCACAGACAGGAGGUGUGGUGACUUGACAGCAAUUUCUCCCCAAGGCAAGGCCUCCGCGGCAUCACAGCCAGCCUUCCCUCCAUUCCACUGCAGAAAUAAAUGAAGUUAUGGAUGUUGGUGUUUCUUUGCGGUGAAUCAAAUGGAUUCCCUGUGAAUGCUGUUUGAUAUUCUUCUUGAUCAUGUCAACUAGACAGAAUGUGUCUUUCUAGCAUUUGUUUUUCAAAAAAAGAUGUGUGAAAUAGGAAUUUUCACAUAAUUCCUGAACAGGUUUUGGUGGCAGUGGUGUUUGUUUUCCAAAAGCCGGGACAGGAACUGCAGAGCCUUCUAGUGCUUUCCUUCAUCUUCUCCCCAGUGCAGCCGGAACUCGCCCCUGGGGUGGCCCACUCUCCCCCACUGAGAGCAGCAGAGACAGCCAGCUGCACAGGCUCGGGAUGUGGGCUGGGAGAAUGCUCCCCCGUGAACUCACAAGCACAUGUUAGGUGCUGUGGAUACAAGAAGCCCAGUCAUAUGGAGAGUAUGUGGUUGGGCGGCCAGGCUUUGGAGCCAGUGGCCUGACUUGUUGUCCCAGCUCUGCCACUCCCUGGCUUUGUGACCUGAGGCAAGGUUGGUAUUUCUCUCUGCUUCCAUAACAUGGGAUAACAGUGGCACCCACUUCAUAGGGCAGUGAGGGAUUGAUGUAUAAAUACAGGUAGUCUGCAGAAGCUCACCUGGCAGACAGUGGGCACCCAGCAGACGCUAGUAAUUUAACUCUGCUGAUAAGGCCCCUUGUUAAGCAGAUGACAGGCAAAGUGAAUCAUGUAUACACCUGAGGACAGGAACACCAUUUUGCAAGUGAGGAAUAAGGCUUAAGAAAAAAAGAACCAGGCUGGGCGUGGUGGCUCACACCUGCAAUCCCAACAGUUUGGGAGGCUGAAGUGGGAGGAUCGCUUGAGCCCAGGAGUUGGAGACCAGCCUGGGCAACACAGUGAGACCCCAUGUCGAUAAAAAAUAUAAAAAUUAGCUGGGCAUGGUGGUGCGUGCCUGUAGUCCCAGCUACUCCCAAGGCUGAGGCAGGAGGCUCUCCUAAGCUCAGGAGGUCCAGGCUGCAGUGAGCUGGGAUUGCACUACUGCAUGCCAGCCUGGGUGACGAUCAAGACUCUGCCCCCAUCCCCCAAAAAAAGAAAAGAAAAGAAGAAACGAACCAUAGCAACAUUAUGCCUAGAAGCCAAACGGUGGAAGCAACCGAAGUGUCCAUUGACGGAUGAAUGUGUAAACAAAAUGUGCUCUAUCCUACAAUGGAAUAUGAUGCAGCUUUGAAAAGGAAAGAAAGUCUGACACAUGUUCCAACAUGGAUGAUCUCUGAUGACCUUAUAUCAAGUGAAACAAGCCAGUCACAAAAGGACAAAGACUGCAUGAUUCCGCUUAUAUGAAGUCCUUAAAAGAGUCAAAUUCAUAGAAACAGAAAGUAGAAUGGUGGUUGCCAAGGACGGCGGAGGGAGGGGAAUGGGGGGUGAAUGUUUAACAGGAAUAGAGUUUCAGUUUUGCAAGAUGAAGGUCCUGGAGAUGGACGGUGGUGAUGGUUGCACAACGAUGUUAAUGUCCUUGACACUGAACUGUACACUUAGAAAUGGUUGAGAUGGUAAAUUUUAUGUUAUGUGUAUUUCACAAUUAACAGUUUAAAAGAAAUGAACCAACUUGGCUG
rnacentral:lncRNA from 1 species